rnacentral:tRNA from 1 species
GGAGGAGGAUGGGGCCCGGUGGCCUCCCCGGUCUUCAAAACCGCGUGGUCCCGGCUUGCCGGGACGGAGGGUUCGACUCCCUUCCUUCUCCGCCA